UACGGGGGGGGCAAGCGUUGCUCGGAAUUACUGGGCGUAAAGGGCUCGUAGGCGGCCAACUAAGUCAGACGUGAAAUCCCUCGGCUUAACCGGGGAACUGCGUCUGAUACUGGAUGGCUUGAGUGUGGGAGAGGGAUGCGGAAUUCCAGGUGUAGCGGUGAAAUGCGUAGAUAUCUGGAGGAACACCGGUGGCGAAGGCGGCAUCCUGGACCAUUACUGACGCUGAGUGAGCGAAAGCCAGGGGAGCAAACGGG
rnacentral:rRNA from 1 species